CAGAGUUCGAGGCGCCGGAAACCGAGGUCCCUGCGUUCGAAGCGCCGGAGGCUGAGCUUUCUGAGUUCGAACCGCAGGACUCCGC
rnacentral:tRNA from 1 species